rnacentral:rRNA from 1 species
GAUGAACGCUAGCUACAGGCUUAACACAUGCAAGUCGAGGGGAAACGGCAUUGAGUGCUUGCACUCUUUGGACGUCGACCGGCGCACGGGUGAGUAACGCGUAUCCAACCUUCCCAUUACUGUGGGAUAACCUGCCGAAAGGCAGACUAAUACCGCAUGGUCUUCGAUGACGGCAUCAGAUUUGAAGUAAAGAUUUAUCGGUAAUGGAUGGGGAUGCGUCUGAUUAGCUUGUUGGCGGGGUAACGGCCCACCAAGGCGACGAUCAGUAGGGGUUCUGAGAGGAAGGUCCCCCACAUUGGAACUGAGACACGGUCCAAACUCCUACGGGAGGCAGCAGUGAGGAAUAUUGGUCAAUGGACGGAAGUCUGAACCAGCCAAGUAGCGUGCAGGAUGACGGCCCUAUGGGUUGUAAACUGCUUUUGUAUGGGGAUAAAGUUAGGGACG